rnacentral:rRNA from 1 species
GAUGAACGCUAGCGGCAGGCUUAAUACAUGCAAGUCAAGGGGGUAGCAAUACAACCGGCGCACGGGUGAGUAACGCGUACACAACAUACCAUAUACUGGAGUAUAGCUUUGGGAAACUGAAGGUAAUCCUCCAUAACAUUGCGAGAGGGCAUCUGAUUGCAAUUAAAGUUCCGGCGGUAUAUGAUUGGUGUGCGUUUGAUUAGCUAGUUGGUAGGGUAACGGCCUACCAAGGCGACGAUCAAUAGCUGGCGUGAGAGCGCGACCAGCCACACUGGAACUGAGACACGGUCCAGACUCCUACGGGAGGCAGCAGUAGGGAAUAUUGGACAAUGGGCGAAAGCCUGAUCCAGCCAUGCCGCGUGAUAGAUGAAGGCCCUCUGGGUUGUAAAUAUCUUUUAUCUGGAAGAAACUCUCUAUUCUUAGAGGCCUGACGGUACCAGAGGAAUAAGCACCGGCUAACUCCGUGCCAGCAGCCGCGGU